AACGUCUGUAAACACAAAUUAAUUGUAUUUUUAAUAAUAUAUGUUAAGAUAAGAUCUACCUCAAAUUGAUUUCAACUCUCAAAAACUGAAUGGUCAAAAAUCUUUUUAAAAACUUCCUUUUUGCCCCAGUCUGGUAGCCUUAUAACAAUGCUUGGGCACUACCAUAUCGAAGACCUGAACUCAGUUUUUGGUUGUGCUCCCUCUAUAUCCCCCAUCUCCUGUGCCAAUACAGAAAGCACAGCAAGAAAGAGAUGGACAUUGUGCUCAGAUUGGUGGGAGUUAAGUUUAGAAAUUACCAAGAGUAGCCUUACUUUACAUUGACUAUUCUGAUUGAUUUAUAUUAGCUGGCUCAAGGUUGUAGAGAGAGAAUCCCAGAAAUGCUGACAGCUUUUGAAGGGUGUAGUGAUCAGUUUUCCUUGGACAGAAAAAUGGUUACUCAAACACUGGGCAUCAAGGAUGAUAGUGUAAAGCAGAAACAAACUAGGGACAUGCCCCAAACAGAUACGUCAAACAUCCAAAGAAGUACUUAAUUUCUCAAGCACUGGGUGCCUUUAAUUAGUGGGCUGUAAACUAUAAAUAAUACAUUGAAUUGCAGGUAAGUAGAAUAAACAAACAUAUUUGAAAAAUCAUUCAGACACAAAAUGUUUUGAAACAUAGUCCUCCUUGAACAGGUGUGUAUAUAUUUUGUUCUAUACUAUACUAGUAUAGUAAACUUCAAGAUACACAUGGCUAUCAUCGUAACUACACCACCACAUAUGUGGAGAAGCUGUCCUUCCUUGAUGUCUUGACAUCCUACUGGCUACAAAUAGGAGCUUUAUACUACUGAAGAGGGAAGAUUCCCAGAUUCCCUGUGGAAUGCACAGCACUUGCUUCUACCUCUGGAAGGGCUCAAAAUAUUGGUCCUUAAAUCCAUGACAUGUUUAUGUUUAGAAAAGCUGGUUCAAGUUAUUUAUAAAGGUCUUAUUGCUCCCUCUGAGUCCUGCACAGUUUAGCUAUGGCACCUGAUUUUACAGGCAAAGGGAUAUGAAAAUAUAGUCCCAAUAAUUUUUUUAACUCUCUAAAGUUUGCUGAAAGUAUUAUUUCUGUAACACGUGAUAGACACAGAAUACAUGACUGGCACUGGUUUGAGAAUACCUGAGUAGCGUGGCUAUCCAAACUCAUGCCAAUAAAAUCUUUACAACACACCUUACUAUCAUGUAUUCCCUAUAUAUGUGAUAAAUUCAUUGAAACUGUGUUUUGGUUCAAGAAGAAAACAUCCUGAGGAAAGCAGUGAAAUCAGUAACCAAGACUCUUACCUAUGCAGGUUCUACCGUCAGGCCCUAGCUGCAAGCCUGGAGAAGGACAGUGGCAGUGUACCUCUCCUUUCACGACAUCACAGCCGUACUGACAGUUUGCCAUUGAACAAGAAAGAGCAUCUAGGGAGAAACAGUUGCACAUUUAGACCAAAUAUAAGGACUCGGCAUCAUACAGGUCCUCAGGCUCAUGAGUUCACUCCAUAUGAUGCCACAGUAUGCAUAUGUUGGUGAUGUUACCACAGAACAUCUUUUGGGGAUAUUUUCUUUGUAAAUCUAUAAGACGAUCCAUUGGAUAUAAGCUGUUAAAAUGCAUAUACAUAAUUUUAUUUAAUAAUCUUUAAUGUGCCAUUGCAUCUGCAUGCAUCACAGACUGAAUACAACCAGGUCUUAAAUAAAUCUAGUUAUAAAACUGCAUAAGCAGCCCUUCUCACUGUUCCAAAUCCAACAGCCAUAAAUAACCCACUACUGAUCCAUAGUCCAGCAAAUGCCAGAAGAAAAGGCUAUGUUUUUAAACACACACUGAAAAUCAGUAAAGCUGAGCUUUGCUAGAGAGUGUUCCUCUCAAACAACUUCCCUCCCUCCCACGUCCAAUCCAUACACAAGAAGCACCUCACCUCAUGUGAUCUCAGCUGUCUGGAGGCAUAAAGGUCAUGCAGUACAUUUGUAAGAUGUUCUUCAAUGGAAAAGCAGUUGCUUUCUGGCUUUCUUCAUAAUCCAUAAAUAUGGCAUUUUAAUACCAGACUCCUCCACAUUUAUCACUUAACCAUGAAAAUCCAUCCAUUUCCUCCUUGCUUAAACACAUUUCAUAUUAAGACCUCAUUUCUUAGCCAUAACAUGUUCACCCAAGGCCUGGGGAAGCUUUAGAGCCCAUCAAUGCCUCUCUUUCAGUGUACAGAAGAGUCGCUAUUGUGUGACACAUUCGCUAAUUCCUUCCUCCAAGGGACUGAGUGUGCUCCCUGUGGGGAACGUAAGCCUGGAUUGGGUUUUCCACAUAGUGAAUCACAGUACUGCCAUUGGGGAGGGAUUUAUUGUCCCAUCACUUCUCUCAAGUCACCCCUGGAGAGUUCAUGUAAUGCUUUUGCAAUUUUCUGCGACAUAUAUUUUACACGUUCCUAUUGGCAUGUUUUGUCCUAGUUGUUUCUUGAGUCUUUCACAUACUGUAAUGUAGUGUUUCUGUGUUAAUUUUUAUUAGCCUAAGGAUGUCUAUUAUGAGAUGUUUCCAUUUCAGCUUUACUGAUAUAACUUGGAAUUUGGAGUGUAUCAUCAUUAUGGAUUGUGACUUCCUGUACAUGACCCAGCGUAAGAUUGGUAUCAGUUCAUGAUAGGCUAUGAGACACUGACGAGAACAACAUAACGAGAAUAACAUCCUCUUCUCUUUCUAAAAUGUGUCUUCUCUAAGCCUUCUAGUAAAAUCCUAAUUAUAGUCUGAAAAGAAUAUACACAAAUAGCAACAACCAAAUACUUUAAAAAGUGUUACAAAUUUUGAUUGCUAAGUAACAAUGACUUGCUAAAAUAAAAUACAGUGUCCUAGAAGUACAUUGAUGUGUAAUCCUUAACUAAAGCAGGCUUUUAAUACUUAGAAAAACUGUUAACAAUUAAAAAAAUAUUCAUGGCAUGAGAUUUGGGUUAGAAAACAAGUAUUGUGAGAAGAAAAGAAAAAAAACUCUACCAUCAUCAGUAUUCAAAAGGACACCACCAUUUAGCAGAUGAAAUUACAACCUAUGUAGUUUGGUGGGAAUUUUAACAUGAACUAGAUAUGUUGACGCAUUACAGUAAACAGACAGACAGUCAAAGAGCUUUUCUGAAAUUAGACUUAAGUUACAGCAAGUGUGAUAUACAUAGCUAGGAAGCGGAAAUGCCUUUUUUUAUUCACUGUAUCCUAAGGCUUUUAUGUCUAUGAGACUUUAAUUUGUCAUCAGUUUUAUCUCAGUUUCAUAGCUACGUGUAUCACUGCCUGAUUAUCUAAAUUGUUUUAGUGCCCAAACAAAAAGCCUGAUAGGAUAGAUUGUCCAAUUAUACUGUGUAACUGAAAGUGGACAAAGAAGGCAUUUUUAGUAUCAGAAGAGGAUAACUGGCACCAAAACUGGUAACCUUGGCGCAUCAACCAAGGUGGUAAUGAGGAGCUAACCAUGCUCUGAGUGGACAAAUGCACUGAAAAGAGGGUGUGAUAAACACAACAGUAGGCAUAACCAGCGGCGAUAGGGGCAGCAUUAAGUUAUUUCUGUGCUCUCAGACCACUUGUUGCCAGAUAAUCAUGAUGAACUAGAGCUGGCAGAGGAAGUGUGCAUACAUAGCUGAUCAACAUGACAAACAAAUGACACUGUCUUGUCUUGGAGUAUUUUACAAUCCCAGACAUCAACACAGAAAAAGUGAGCUGAAGCUGGGCUCUGUACGCUGCGCAUGUGUGUUCUUGAAUUGGUAGAUAUGAUGGUUAUUUUAUGAGAUUUCUAUGGAAGAUCUGAUUAAACAGAAUUGCAAUGCAAUCUAAUAUAUGUAGGACCCUAGCUUAUUUUAUGAUAUGACCCUAGAUUAUUUUAUGAUCAAUCUGUGAAAUGCUUUUCCAUUGUUAAUACAUUAUUGACUUUC